rnacentral:misc_RNA from 1 species
CCGAGCUCAUGCCCUUACGGGUAGAUCUCCCACCCUAUGUUAUUGUUACCUUUGUUGCUUUGGCGGGCCGUCAGGCCUCGGUCAGGCUACCGGCUCCGGCUGGUAAGCGCCCGCCAGAGGACCCCAAACCCUGAAUAUUAGUGUCGUCUGAGUACUAUAUAAUAGUUA